rnacentral:misc_RNA from 1 species
GGAAGUAAAAGACGUAACAAGGUUUCCGUAGGUGAACCUGCGGAAGGAUCAUUAUUGUAUAACCGAGGUGCGAGGGCUGUCGCUGACCCGAAAGGUCGUGCACGCCCGAGUGCCCUCACACACAUCCAUCUCACCCCUAUGUGCACCACCGCGUGGGUCCCCCUUUGGCUUGUUCGGAGGGGGGCUUACGUUUUCACACAAACUUUGUAUGCAGUGUAGAAUGUAUUUUUUGUUUUUGCGAUCACGCAAUCAAUACAACUUUCAACAACGGAUCUCUUGGCUCUC